GAAGCUCGGAAGGAAAAAACCUGUGACAAACAGAGUCUUAGUUCUGCUGCUGCAUUUGACAACUAUGCAAAUGGAGGAACAACAGAAUAAGCAAGGCUAUGAUCAUUCAAUUCACAGCCAAGUCAAGAAAGUCAAGAGAGAGUCUGAGAAAAAUAUUACCGGUGGAUCAGUGGCUCAUCCCAAUAUCACAAGAAUGAUCACCAGGCAACACUCGAGAUCGAGGCUUGGACUAGCCAUAGCUGGCCAAGGCCAAUCCAUUUCUGUUGCUCACCAGCAGUAGGGGAUGAGUUUUUGAUCUAACACGGUGAUUUUAGAGUUUUCCAGUGGUAAUGGAACAAUUGGAUUUUUGUACAAUUUGUUCUUAAUUUCAAUGGUUGCCUGAUAUCAAUCAAACUUUGC
rnacentral:lncRNA from 1 species